CCAAAUUAAACACUAACAAACCUGAGAAGAGAAAUCAACAGACUCCGACUCAAAAUAAGACCAACAGACUCUGACAUAAAAGUGAAAACAACAGACUCGACAACCAACUACAUACUCCAAUUAAAGAAAAUACAAACUUCACAAACAGACUAGCAGACUCGAGAGAAAAUCAUGAAUACAUUAGUGCCUCUAAUGCUCCUAGGGCCCGCAGGACAUCAUUCGGUCUCGCCACGGGCCUUUGUGGUAAAUCCCCUUGGAUGUGGUGGAGGUCUUCUAUUACCUGGCGGACGAAGGUCAUUGCAACGACAAAAAACAUGGAUCUAGUUAUAUUUUCACAACUACUGCACUUUAUUGCAAUGUAAUUAGUGAUCCUUCAGACUCUGUCUCUCUUAUGACACCCUUUUCUUGCAACAAUCGCCCAAUCUGCUGGGCCCUGGCUUUGAAAGUUUAUUCGGCUACCCGAUUCUGUUCUUGGAAUUGCCGCAAAUCUUUUUCCAGUUGUGCUAUUGCUAUAUAACAGUGCUCUCUUUCAGCCUUAAAGUCCUUCGCCUUCUUAACCAUUUUGUUUUCAACGGUGAUGACCUUUUUCUUCAAUCCUGCAACCUCGUUGUCGUACUUUUCUUUCAAUGGUUCAAUCAGAUGUGCUCGUUCUUCCAUAUUUUUGGCCAUUUUCUUUCAGGCCCUGGCUAGUUCACCCUCUGCUUUGUUACCUUCCUUCUAAGAUUGUCUAUGAGCUUCUCAUCUUUUACACUUCUGGUAGGAUUUUCUGCCGCUAUUUUCAUUUUUGAAUCUGGGUUCGAAGGGCUUCAUUUUCUUUGGCUAGCUUAUUAUUUUCGCCUUUAUCUGCC
rnacentral:lncRNA from 1 species